rnacentral:rRNA from 1 species
GACGAACGCUGGCGGCGUGCUUAACACAUGCAAGUCGAACGGAAAGGCCCUGCUUUUGUGGGGUGCUCGAGUGGCGAACGGGUGAGUAACACGUGAGUAACCUGCCCUUGACUUUGGGAUAACUUCAGGAAACUGGGGCUAAUACCGGAUAGGAGCUCCUGCUGCAUGGUGGGGGUUGGAAAGUUUCGGCGGUUGGGGAUGGACUCGCGGCUUAUCAGCUUGUUGGUGGGGUAGUGGCUUACCAGGGCUUUGACGGGUAGCCGGCCUGGGAGGUGACCGGCCACAUUGGGACUGAGAUACGGCCCAGACUCCUACGGGAGGCAGCAGUGGGGAAUAUUGCACAAUGGGCGGAAGCCUGAUGCAGCAACGCCGCGUGCGGGAUGACGGCCUUCGGGUUGUAAACCGCUUUCGCCUGUGACGAAGCGUGAGUGACGGUAAUGGGUAAAGAAGCACCGGCUAACUAUGUG